AACGAAAGUAUAUUUAUAUUCUCUUGGCCCACGGUGACCUGACCUUCUGAAGAGGCACACUCAGCAGGAGGUCAAACCCAGCCCACCCUCAGUGACCUCUCCUGGUGGUCAGGGAGCAGGGUAACGAGGUCGCGCACGUGUGGGGGUCACCUGAUGUUGGGGUCACUAUGUUCCUGGGCUUGACUUAGCUUGACAUGUGGGGAAGGUCAGGUCACAUUAGUGGCUCAUACGAGGUGUUAUUCCCAGCAGCACUACAGUGACCUGUGACCCACGUGGGAAAGAUUCUCACUGUGAUGGGAGAACUAUAGACAGAGAGAGGGGGAGCUAUGGAUGGAGUGAGUUACAGCUAUAGACAGAGGGGAAGCUAUGGAUAGAGUAAUAACAGCUAUAGAUAGAGGAACGGGGAGCUGUGGAUAAAUGGUGGAAGGGAGAAAGAAAGGACUGUGGACAGAAGGAGGACAACACACAUACACACACGUACUGUAUACAUACAAAGGUAUACACACAGGUACACACGCGUACUGUAUACACACAGGAACACACACACACGUACUGUAUACACACACAGGUACACACACGUAUACACACAGGUACACACACGUACUGUAUACACACACAGGUACACACACGUACUGUAUACACACAGGUACACACACGUACUGUAUACACACACAGGUACACACACGUACUGUAUACACACACAGUUACACACACGUACUGUAUACACACACAGGUGCACACACGUACUGCAUACACACACAGGUACACACACGUACUGUAUACACACAGGUACACACACGUACUGUAUACACACACAGGUACACACACGUACUGUAUACACACACAGUUACACACACGUAUUGUAUACACACAUAGUUACACACACGUACUGUAUACACACACAGGUACACACACGUAUACACACACAGGUACACACACGUACUGUAUAUACACAGGUACACACGUGAGAACGGAAGUCACUUACUCAGGCUGGUGGUCACAUAUCGAGGUGCAGUAAUAAAGGCAGUCUAACA